GCAAUUACCUGGCAGGGAGAUACCUAAUCAGAGAGGUGGUUACCCAGGGGCAGCUUAACCAUUGCACUCCGGUAUGCUGGACCCUGCGAAUUACAAAAUGUGGGACAUCUCGAGCUGCAUAAUUUCUGGUAGUGGGGGCACCGCGUUCGCGCUCUCACCCU